CAGGAUGAACGCUAGCGGCAGGCUUAACACAUGCAAGUCGAGGGGCAGCGGGAUGUAGCAAUACAUUGCCGGCGACCGGCGGAUGGGUGCGUAACGCGUAUGCAACCUACCUUAUACAGGGAAUAACCUUCGAAAGGGAGACUAACACCCCAUGGUAUUGAUUUAAGGCAUCUUAGAUUAAUUAAAUAUUUAUAGGUAUAAGAUGGGCAUGCGUAUGAUUAGCUAGUUGGUAAGGUAACGGCUUACCAAGGCGACGAUCAUUAGGGGUUCUGAGAGGAAGGUCCCCCACACUGGUACUGAGACACGGACCAGACUCCUACGGGAGGCAGCAGUGAGGAAUAUUGGUCAAUGGGCGCAAGCCUGAACCAGCCAUGCCGCGUGCAGGAAAGACGGCCUUAUGGGUUGUAAACUGCUUUUACAUAAGACUAACCGUAUAUUUGCGAAUAUACCUGAAUGUAUUAUGAGAAUAAGGAUCGGCUAACUCCGUGCCAGCCGCAGC
rnacentral:rRNA from 1 species